UACGUAGGGUGCGAGCGUUAAUCGGAAUUACUGGGCGUAAAGCGUGCGCAGGCGGUGAUGUAAGACCGAUGUGAAAUCCCCGGGCUUAACCUGGGAACUGCAUUGGUGACUGCAUUGCUCGAGUAUGGCAGAGGGGGGUGGAAUUCCACGUGUAGCAGUGAAAUGCGUAGAGAUGUGGAGGAACACCGAUGGCGAAGGCAGCUCGCUGGGACGGUACUGACGCUGAGACGCGAAAGCGUGGGGAGCAAACAGG
rnacentral:rRNA from 1 species